rfam:Camelus ferus unplaced genomic scaffold scaffold1577, whole genome shotgun sequence.
GAGAGUAUAGCUCAAGGGGUAGAGUACUUGCUUAGCAUGCAUGAGGUCCUGGGUUCAAUCCCCAGUACCUCCU